rnacentral:rRNA from 1 species
UACGAAGGGGGCUAGCGUUGCUCGGGAUCACUGGGCGUAAAGGGUGCGUAGGCGGGUCUUUAAGUCAGGGGUGAAAUCCUGGAGCUCAACUCCAGAACUGCCUUUGAUACUGAAGAUCUUGAGUUCGGGAGAGGUGAGUGGAACUGCGAGUGUAGAGGUGAAAUUCGUAGAUAUUCGCAAGAACACCAGUGGCGAAGGCGGCUCACUGGCCCGAUACUGACGCUGAGGAGCGAAAGCGUGGGGAGCGAACAGG